UCACAUCAAGGAUGAACUUGUCACCAAUAGCCCUCUACAUGGUCCAACUGUGCCAGAACGUAGAAUGGGUCCUGGUCUUUCCCUUACAUAUCAUAACAUAACAGUGUCCAACUGUGCCAGAACGUAGAAUGGGUCCUGGUCUUUCUCUUACAUAGUGCCAGCGAACGUAGAAUGGGUCCCACUGGUCUUACUUUCCGUACCGUACAUAUCACAUCGUCAUAUCAUAGAUCGAGGGCUAUGGAUCAUUCAACAUUCAUCC
rnacentral:lncRNA from 1 species